rnacentral:rRNA from 1 species
GACGAACGCUGGCGGCGUGCUUAACACAUGCAAGUCGAACGGAAAGGCCCUGCUUUUGUGGGGUGCUCGAGUGGCGAACGGGUGAGUAACACGUGAGUAACCUGCCCUUGACUUUGGGAUAACUUCAGGAAACUGGGGCUAAUACCGGAUAGGAGCUCCUGCUGCAUGGUGGGGGUUGGAAAGUUUCGGCGGUUGGGGAUGGACUCGCGGCUUAUCAGCUUGUUGGUGGGGUAGUGGCUUACCAAGGCUUUGACGGGUAGCCGGCCUGGGAGGGUGACCGGCCACAUUGGGACUGAGAUACGGCCCAGACUCCUACGGGAGGCAGCAGUGGGGAAUAUUGCAAGAUGGGCGGAAGCCUUAUGCAGCAACGCCGCGUGCGGGAUGACGGCCUUCGGGUUGUAAACCGCUUGCGCCUGUGACGAAGCGUGAGUGACGGUAAUGGGUAAAGAAGCACCGGCUAACUACGUG